rnacentral:rRNA from 1 species
UACGAAGGGGGCUAGCGUUGCUCGGAAUCACUGGGCGUAAAGCGCACGUAGGCGGAUUGUUAAGUCAGGGGUGAAAUCCUGGAGCUCAACUCCAGAACUGCCUUUGAUACUGGCGAUCUCGAGUCCGGGAGAGGUGAGUGGAACUGCGAGUGUAGAGGUGAAAUUCGUAGAUAUUGGGAAGAACACCGGUGGCGAAGGCGGCGCUCUGGACCGAGACUGACGCUGAGGCGCGAAAGCUAGGGGAGCGAACGGG